UACGUAGGUGGCGAGCGUUAUCCGGAAUGAUUGGGCGUAAAGGGUGCGUAGGCGGUCUUUUAAGUCUGAUGUGAAAGCCUUCGGCUUAACCGGAGUAGUGCAUUGGAAACUGGGAGACUUGAGUGCAGGAGAGGAGAGUGGAAUUCCAUGUGUAGCGGUGAAAUGCGUAGAUAUAUGGAGGAACACCGGUGGCGAAAGCGGCUCUCUGGCCUGUAACUGACACUGAGGCUCGAAAGCGUGGGGAGCAAACAGG
rnacentral:rRNA from 1 species